rnacentral:rRNA from 1 species
CACGUAGGGAGCAAGCGUUGUCCGGAAUCAUUGGGCGUAAAGCGCGCGUAGGUGGCCCGGUAAGUCCGCUCUGAAAGUCAAAGGCUCAACCUUUGAAAGCGGGUGGAUACUGCCAGGCUAGAGUCCGGAAGAGGCGAGUGGAAUUCCUGGUGUAGCGGUGGAAUGCGCAGAUAUCAGGAGGAACACCAACGGCGAAGGCAGCUCGCUGGGACGGUACUGACACUGAGGCGCGAAAGCGUGGGGAGCGAACAGG